rnacentral:tRNA from 1 species
UCCCUUGUGGCUCAGCUGGUAAAGAAUCUGCCUGCAAUGCAGGAGACCUGGGUUCAACCCCUGGUUGGGAAG